AAUGAAAAGUGAUCCUAAUACUCUCCAAUAUGUAUCAUCUGAAAUUUAAUCUGAAAAUCUUUACGAUACACCUUGAGGCUUGUUAUUUGGUUAGUAUAUCUUAUGCAUCAAUCAUGAACCAAAAUUGCAAUUCAAAUAGUUGAUCUUAAGAGCCUCUAAUUUAAUGAAAAAGGGGGAAGAAUAAUGUGUUGAAUUUUCUUGAGUAUCUCUUAGA
rnacentral:lncRNA from 1 species